UACGUAGGGGGCAAGCGUUAUCCGGAUUUACUGGGUGUAAAGGGAGCGUAGACGGCAUGGCAAGUCAGAUGUGAAAGCCCGGGGCUCAACCCCGGGACUGCAUUUGAAACUGUCAGGCUGGAGUGCAGGAGAGGUAAGCGGAAUUCCUAGUGUAGCGGUGAAAUGCGUAGAUAUUAGGAGGAACACCAGUGGCGAAGGCGGCUUACUGGACUGUAACUGACGUUGAGGCUCGAAAGCGUGGGGAGCAGACAGG
rnacentral:rRNA from 1 species